GAGACUUCAUCCUUCUACAUUAGAAGCAUUGAUAUGCACUCAAAAUUGGUUGGUAAAUGACAAAAAAGAAGCGACUCCACUAGUCACCAUGAAUGAUGAAGAUAAUGAUGUAGAUCCAACUAUGGAGCCAUACAUAGUUGAUCUUGAUGAUUAAGGUAGCAGGUCAAUAAAGAAGAAGAAAGUCAUUUGAUUCUUUUGACGCAUCAAAAGUGGAGUGCUAUGUUGCAUAUGAUAGUUUUAUUUUACUUUGUUCUCUUGAGAAACUCUCAAAAGUGGAGUGCUAUGU